rnacentral:lncRNA from 1 species
CAAAUCCUGCCACUACCACCUUCUAGCUGUGUGACCACUCACUGGCAGUUAUUUGACCUGCAGAAUUACCUUGUGCUUAUGUGAUACAGGAACUUUUGUCAGCAGCAUCUACCAUCCUUCACAACAGAACCCCAAUUUCCUUUGGGGAGUUAACUUACCACACCACUGCCUAUAUUUUACUGAGAUGGAAAAUCCAGCUGCCCGUGCCUCCUAUAGCCAAAGGUAGGCAGUCUCUUCAGCUCAACCCAUGAAAGCUCACUGCUGAGAUUUUGAC